rnacentral:lncRNA from 1 species
AAAUAGUUAUUAUAUAUAAAGUAUAAUAAGAUUGAAAAUAGUAUUUUCUACCGACUGUUUCCAGAGCAAGUGGCAAAAGGCUUGAUGGUUGGUGCUCCAGACCCAAGUUCGAAUGCUAGUUGAUUCACAUUUCUUACUAAGCUUAUUUCUAGAUGAAAUAAAACGAAGCGGAUAGCGUGCUAUCUAUCUCUCAAAAGAAAAGAAAAAAAAAAGAAAAUAGUAUUAUCUAAAAAGUAUAAUAGGUUGAAUAUUUUAAUCUGGUUAUAAUACUUUGGAUUGUGAUUAGGCUAAAGAGGUCGAGAGAAUUAAGCGUAUUGUGAUUAAAGUAGUUAUAAAAUGGAUAGACUUCGGCGUCGUACUAUAAAAAAAAGAUAAUUGUGUAUUUAAAAAUUGAGAAAAAAAAAUUUU